ACUACAAAAAACCAGCGCAGUUCUGGCGCCCAUCUCCCAGCGGCCAGGCCGACGGAAGGUUACACUUGUCCGCCUGCAUAAUUUUCCCUCGUAAAUGAGAGAAAUUUUCUGGCGGCCAGGCCGACGAAAUAUUUUUUUGUAAAAAAUUCCAGCGGCCUGGCCGCCAGCUUCAAUUUCACCAACGGUCGGGAAGAUGUGAUCCGGCGGCCUGGCCGCCAGCUCCAAUUUCCCCAACGGUCGGGAAGAAGUGAUCCGGCGGCCUGGCCGUCGGCAUACUAAAACCCUCAACGGUCGGGAGAAAAAUAGCUGGCGGCUUGGCCGCUGGAUACUUUUUCCCGCUUAUUUUUUUCAGUAGCCGACGGCCUGGCCGCCAGGAUUUUUUGGAAACCCUAAAAUUACAACUUGCGCCGCCGUGGUCCCCCGUACAGUCAAACUUAGUCAACUCGAACUUAAGUGUUUCCCGGCGGCCUGGCCGCCGGAAUUUUUUUAUAUAAGUCAAAAAAUUUCAGACUUUUCUCAUUUCUCCCAACGGUUUCCUCACUUCUCCAAACUCUCCCAAACUCUCCCAAACUCUCCCAAACUUCUCCCAAGGCGUCGAAAGUUCUCCCCAAGGGCGUUUGUAACUUCUCCGGGCGAUUUGAUUGAGCACUCCGGCCAUUCCUCCCCAAGGUAAUAAUCUCCCCUUCUUGAUCUUCAACUUCAUGUUCUACUUCCUCAUCUUCUCCGAUCCAAAAGUGUUUCAACCUCAUGUUCCUCAUCUUCCUCAUCUUCAACCUCAUGUUAAAGUGUUUCAAAUUGAUAAUGUUAGUUAUUGUAGUUUUUUUCUUCUAAUUUAGGGUUUAUGAAAUUGGGGGUUUAUAAUUGGGGCUUUGAUUUUAUUUAUUAAGAGUGUUUGAUUUGUGUAUUUGAUCUUAUAUAUGUAGUUAGGGUAUGAUUUUGUGGAUGUUAUGUUGUUAGGGUUGUAAUUUUUGAUAUGUAUUUUAAUGUUUGAUUUAGUGUUAAUUAGGGUUGUAAUGUUUUAAAUGUUUUAAGUUUUAUUGUUGAGGAUAUUACUGGAAUUAUAUUUAUUUAUCUAUAAAUACUGUUUGAAAUUUGUUUUUAAUGUUUUCUUGUUUUAUUUUAGUUAUUUAAUUACUGUUUUAGUUAAAAAACAUAUGCGUCUCAUUUUAGUUUUAUUUAAUUACCCUACUCAUCACUCAUAAACGAUAGUC
rnacentral:lncRNA from 1 species